rnacentral:lncRNA from 1 species
GGAAAGGAAGAAAGGAAGAGGAAGAAGAAGAAGAAAAAGAAAGGGAAAGGAAUCCCGGGUGCACUUCCAGCUGAAGGAAAAAAUGUAGAUCUCCUUCUCCUCUACGCAAGGACCUCGAUUUCCAAAAAAAAAGGUAAAUAUCCGUCCCUAUCUAGUUUUUUGAUGACAUUAGGCUAUACAAAGGGUGGAUAUAGUCUAGAGGGGUCGGAUAAGGGUUGUAGAGGCGGUUAAAAGAGGAAGAAUCGGAUUUUGACAAAUUUUUCCGGCACUACGGAAAAACUGUGUCGAAGUCCCAACUUCGGCAAAUUAUUUAGAGGGUCAAACAACCUCCGAUAGCAAUGCAUGUUACCUCUUUGGAAUUCCCUAUGAGUGUAGAAUGUUAGGUAAAAAUUUCAUCAAAUUUGGAGUUUGGAAAGUGGAUCAAACCCAGGAUGAAGUAACCGGCUGUCGGUCCGGGUUACUGUUUAUCCGGGUGGAAAAUAAGGGAUUUCAUACUAUAAUAGAGUAUUAAGCCUAGAUCAAGCUAAAAGGGAG